rnacentral:misc_RNA from 1 species
AAUUAUCAACUGUGCCACUUUGGUUACAGAUUGGAUGUGGGAGAUUUCUUGCAGGCUUUCGACUUCUCUUUGAAUGCCAGCUCUCCUGAAAUGUAUUAGCAGUGCCUUUGUUGGUUCAUUAGGUGUGAUAAUUUAUCUACAUCUUCACAUGGUGCCUUCAUUUGUAAAAGGUCAUAUUGCUUCUAAUUGUCUUUGGACAAAAAACAUGUUAAUGUGUGACAA